rnacentral:lncRNA from 13 species
GGCCUUUGGGAGGUAAUUCUAUUUAGAUGAAGACAUUGAGUUGGUCCCUCCAAGGUGGGAUUAGUGUCCUUACAAGAAAAGAAAGAGAGCAGAGCUUCCUCUCUACCAUAUGAGGAUACAUCAAAAGAAGAACCAUCUGCAAGUCAGGAAGAGGGACUUCACCAAGAACUGGAUCUGCCUGUACCUUGAUCUUGGACUUCUCAGUUUCCAGAACUCUAGAGAACCUCCAUAAACUACCACCAAAAUCCUGGAUCUGUUUCCCAGCAUGAAUUAAUCUUCCCAUGUUUUCAUUACAUUUGAACGUCAGCAAUGUGUAGACAGAAGUAGUUCAUCCUGGGAGGUGAGAAUGAGCUUUGAGAGAAAGCCAUCAGUGAAGCCGAAGGCUGGGAAAAAAAGUGAAGCAGCAUAUGGAACUGUUCAUCUCUGGGGCAGGGAGAAAUCAUCCAGAGAAGAGGAAUCACACCUCAUUUAUAACCUGCUACUUUCAAAACACAGUACCAACUGA